AUAACACGUCUCGUCGUUCAGCCGGUUUCGCGAAGAGGAGACAAUUACGUAUUUAACAGUCGCGUUUUAUCGCAUGUCUCGCGUGUGCGAUACGUAUAUAUCGGGAAAGUUCACUCUUAUCUCGCGAAGCUCGCAAAAUACAUCCAUCGAUGCGCACACUGCGGAAUAAAGGAGCUUGCGGAAAUUAGGUAACGCGUGAUUAAGCGAAACCGUAAUGCUGUAUCUAUAAUACAAGGUGCGGGCGGCUCUUCUUUCGCUUACGAUGUGAAACGAAAAACGGUUAACGGCGGUUUCGUCCAGCAGGUAGCAACGAACGUCUACGCUUCUCUACCUUCAGAAGUGUGUGUGUGUGUGUGUGUGUGUGUGUGUGUGUGUGUGUGUGCGCGUGCAUGCGUGCGUGCAUACGUGCGUGCGUGCGUGCGUGUCGUUCAAAGCACGCACCUGAGCGUGAAGCAAGGGACUCGUGUUGAUGCGGCUUCCACCUGCGCUCAACUCCAGUGAUUUCAGAAAAAUAAAACGAUAAUAAAAUAAGAGGAGGAAGGUAGUUAUGUAGAGAUAAGUGCAGAGAGAUUCUUUGGAGCUACACACGCGAAGCUUACAUCGCAUCUAAUGCACUCUUGUUGUCCUUUGAACUGGCGCGUCGCAUGUCGUCGAUCUAAUCACCGAACUUUCAAGAGGCGGAGAUUGCACGCGGACCGUCGCUUCUACGAUAAUUGCACCUGGUGCAUAUCAAAUGUUAUCGGCAAAAACAUAGGCAGAAACAGGACGUCAAAAGCCACAAGCCUCUUUGUCAGUCGCAGAAACGCCAGACUACGCCUCGAAAUACGCGUAACGAUACAGCUUUUCGGCUGUAUAGCGGCUGAAUAGUAUAGCGUUAACGCUCAUGAGCGUCUAUAACAGUAUCAGUCGAUGGAUGGACCAUCAAGUGUGCAGAAGCAUGGACUCCCCCGCUUGCUACAAUUGUCCAGAUUCAUUCGUAAAUUACUUAAUGAAACGUUUGUGCGGCUCUGAAUCGAUUCGGCCGAUCUUUUGUAUAUAUAUACAUAAAUUUAACGAACCAAGAAUAUCGAUCGCAAUUUUCUUAAUUUAGC